UAAACGACUCUCGGCAACGGAUAUCUUGGCUCUCGCAUCGAUGAAGAACGUAGCGAAAUGCGAUACUUGGUGUGAAUUGCAGAAUCCCGUGAACCAUCGAGUCUUUGAACGCAAGUUGCGCCCGAAGCCAUUAGGCCGAGGGCACGCCUGCCUGGGCGUCACAC
rnacentral:rRNA from 1 species